rnacentral:rRNA from 1 species
GGUGAUGAGCAAUACGCCAGGUUUGCUUGAAAGUUAGGAGGAGUAUUUAUAACAAUGUAUUAGGUCUAACCACUCCAUUGUGCUUAAUAAAAGCUCCAAUCUAUAUUUCAAACUUCGACCUCAAAUCAGGUAGGAUUACCCGCUGAACUUAAGCAUAUCAAUAAGCGGAGGAAAAGAAACCAACAGGGAUUGCCUUAGUAGCGGCGAGUGAAGCGGCAAUAGCUCAAAUUUGAAAUCUGGCACUUUCAGUGUCCGAGUUGUAAUUUGAAGAAGGUAUCUUUGGGUCUAGCUCUUGUCUAUGUUUCUUGGAACAGAACGUCACAGAGGGUGAGAAUCCCGUGCGAUGAGAUGUCUAGAUCUAUGUAAAGUUCCUUCGAAGAGUCGAGUUGUUUGGGAAUGCAGCUCUAAGUGGGUGGUAAAUUCCAUCUAAAGCUAAAUAUUGGCGAGAGACCGAUAGCGAACAAGUACAGUGAUGGAAAGAUGAAAAGAACUUUGAAAAGAGAGUGAAAAAGUACGUGAAAUUGUUGAAAGGGAAGGGCUUGAGAUCAGACUUGGUAUUUUGUAUGUUACUCUCUCGGGGGUGGCCUCUACAGUUUACCGGGCCAGCAUCAGUUUGAGCGGUAGGAGAAUUGCGUAGGAAUGUGGCUCGGCCUCGGUCGAGUGUUAUAGCCUUCGUCGAUACUGCCAGCUUAGACUGAGGACUGCGGCUUCGGCCUAGGAUGUUGGCAUAAUGAUCUUAAGUCG